rnacentral:rRNA from 1 species
UACAGAGGUCCCAAGCGUUGUUCGGAUUCACUGGGCGUAAAGGGUGCGUAGGCGGUCGGGUAAGUCUGACGUGAAAUCUUUAAGCUUAACUUGGAAACUGCGUCGGAUACUAUUCGGCUAGAGGAAUGGAGGGGAGACUGGAAUACUUGGUGUAGCAGUGAAAUGCGUAGAUAUCAAGUGGAACACCAGUGGCGAAGGCGAGUCUCUGGACAUUUCCUGACGCUGAGGCACGAAAGCCAGGGGAGCAAACGGG